AUCUCAGUUUCAAGAAACCGACCCUAAUGACCGGUCCGGGGUCACAUGUGUGUGCCUUAAUGUACAAACAUAUCAGAGAGAGUUCAGAAGGUCUGAGAGAAAGAGAAAGAGGAAGAGGAAGAGAAAGACAGGACUGCAGUGUGAGAGAUGAUGAAGAAUUGUGGCCGUUCACAUGAAGGAUGAUAAUGUAGGGCUGCACAAUAAUGGUUCAACGUUUAAUCACGAUUAUUGGACUCAAAAAAUAUAAUCACUUAUUUGCAGUUUCAUAUAAGCACAGAUCAGCAUGGUUUGCUUGCAGAUUUCAUCUAGUCAAAUCGUGUUAAAACAUCUUUACAGUAUUAAACAGGAAAAUAGUGUCAAUAAU